CCUACGGGGAGCAGCAGUGGGGAAUAUUGCACAAUGGGGGAAACCCUGAUGCAGCGACGCCGCGUGAGUGAAGAAGUAAUUCGUUAUGUAAAGCCCUAUUAGCAGGGAAGAAAAUGACGGUAUCUGAGUAAGAAGCCCCGGCUAACUACGUGCCAGCAGCCGCGGUAAUACGUAGGGGGCAAGCGUUAACCGGAUUUACUGGGCGUAAAGGGAGCGUAGACGGGAGUGCAAGUCUGGAGUGAAAUGCGGGGGCUAAACCCCCGGACUGCUCUGGAAACUGUACGUCUAGAGUGCAGGAGAGGUAGGUGGAAUUCUUGGUGUAGGGGUGAAAUCCGUAGAGAUUAGGAGGAACACCAGUGGCGAAGGCGACUUACUGGACUGUAACUGACGCUGAGGCGCGAAAGCGUGGGGAGCAAACAGGAUUAGAUACCCGAGUAGUC
rnacentral:rRNA from 1 species